GGAGGAACACCGGUGGCGAAGGCGGGUCUCUGGGCCGAUACUGACGCUGAGGAGCGAAAGCGUGGGGAGCGAACAGGAUUAGAUACCCUGGUAGUCCACGCCGUAAACGGUGGAUGCUGGAUGUGGGGACCAUUCCACGGUCUCCGUGUCGGAGCCAACGCGUUAAGCAUCCCGCCUGGGGAGUACGGCCGCAAGGCUAAAACUCAAAGAAAUUGACGGGGGCCCGCACAAGCGGCGGAGCAUGCGGAUUAAUUCGAUGCAACGCGAAGAACCUUACCUGGGCUUGACAUGUUCCCGACAGCCGUAGAGAUACGGUCUCCCUUCGGGGCGGGUUCACAGGUGGUGCAUGGUCGUCGUCAGCUCGUGUCGUGAGAUGUUGGGUUAAGUCCCGCAACGAGCGCAACCCUCGCCCUGUGUUGCCAGCACGUCGUGGUGGGAACUCACGGGGGACCGCCGGGGUCAACUCGGAGGAAGGUGGGGAUGACGUCAGAUCAUCAUGCCCCUUACGUCCAGGGCUUCACGCAUGCUACAAUGGCCGGUACAACGGGAUGCGACCUCGUGAGGGGGAGCGGAUCCCUUAAAACCGGUCUCAGUUCGGAUUGGAGUCUGCAACCCGACUCCAUGAAGGCGGAGUCGCUAGUAAUCGCGGAUCAGCAACGCCGCGGUGAAUGCGUUCCCGGGCCUUGUACACACCGCCCGUCAAGUCAUGAAAGUGGGUAGCACCCGAAGCCGGUGGCCUAACCCUUUGUGGAUGGAGCCGUCUAAGGUGAGACUCGUGAUUGGGACUAAGUCGUAACAAGGUAGCCGUACCGGAAGGUGCGGCUG
rnacentral:rRNA from 1 species